rnacentral:rRNA from 1 species
GAUACCUACGGGGGGCAGCGGUGGGGAAUAUUGGGCAAUGGGCGCAAGCCUGACCCAGCAACGCCGCGUGAAGGAAGAAGGCUUUCGGGUUGUAAACUUCUUUUAAGAGGGACGAAGGAAGUGACGGUACCUCUUGAAUAAGCCACGGCUAACUACGUGCCAGCAGCCGCGGUAAUACGUAGGUGGCAAGCGUUAUCCGGAUUUAUUGGGUGUAAAGGGCGUGUAGGCGGGAGCGCAAGUCAGAUGUGCAAACUCAGGGCUCAACCCUGAGCCUGCAUUUGAAACUG